rnacentral:rRNA from 1 species
UACGGAAGGCAGCAGUGGGGAAUAUUGCACAAUGGGCGCAAGCCUGAUGCAGCCAUGCCGCGUGUAUGAAAAAGGCCUUCGGGUUGUAAAGUACUUUCAGUCGUGAGGAAGGUGUUAAGGUUAAUAACCUUAGCAAUUGACGUUAGCGACAGAAGAAGCACCGGCUAACUCCGUGCCAGCAGCCGCGGUAAUACGGAGGGUGCGAGCGUUAAUCGGAAUUACUGGGCGUAAAGGGCACGCAGGCGGUUAAUUAAGUUGGAUGUGAAAUCCCCGGGCUUAACCUGGGAAUGGCAUUCAAGACUGGUUAGCUAGAGUCUUGUAGAGGGGGUAGAAUUCCAUGUGUAGCGGUGAAAUGCGUAGAGAUGUGGAGGAAUACCGGUGGCGAAGGCGGCCCCUGGACAAAGACUGACGCUCAUGUGCGAAAGCGUGGGGAGCGAAACAGGGAUUAGAUACCCG